GAUAAACGCUGGCGGCGUGCCUAACACAUGCAAGUCGAACGUCCUACGCGCAAGCGUAGGGAGUGGCGGACGGGUGAGUAACACGUGGGCAAUCUACCUUUCGGUGAGGAAUACCGGCGAGAAAUCGCCGACAAGACCGCAUACGCUUCGCGAGAAGCAAAGUCGUAAGACGCCGGAGGAGGAGCCUGCGCCCGAUUAGCUGGUUGGUGGGGUAAAAGCCUACCAAGGCCUCGAUCGGUAGCUGGUCUGAGAGGAUGAUCAGCCACACUGGGAUUGA
rnacentral:rRNA from 1 species